AACGUUGGGCACUAGGUGUGGGGGACAUUCCACGUUCUCCGCGCCGUAGCUAACGCAUUAAGUGCCCCGCCUGGGGAGUACGGUCGCAAGGCUAAAACUCAAAGGAAUUGACGGGGGCCCGCACAAGCGGCGGAGCAUGCGGAUUAAUUCGAUGCAACGCGAAGAACCUUACCAAGGCUUGACAUACACUGGACCGUUCUGGAAACAGUUCUUCUCUUUGGAGCUGGUGUACAGGUGGUGCAUGGUUGUCGUCAGCUCGUGUCGUGAGAUGUUGGGUUAAGUCCCGCAACGAGCGCAACCCUCGUUCUAUGUUGCCAGCACGUGAUGGUGGGAACUCAUAGGAGACUGCCGGGGUCAACUCGGAGGAAGGUGGGGAUGACGUCAAAUCAUCAUGCCCUUUAUGUCUUGGGCUUCACGCAUGCCACAAUGGCUGGUACAGAGAGAGGCGAACCCGUGAGGGUAAGCGAAUCCCUUAAAGCCAGUCUCAGUUCGGAUCGUAGUCUGCAAUUCGACUACGUGAAGUCGGAGUCGCUAGUAAUCGCAGAUCAGCAACGCUGCGG
rnacentral:rRNA from 1 species